rnacentral:rRNA from 1 species
ACUCCUACGGGAGGCAGCAGUGGGGAAUUUUGGACAAUGGGCGAAAGCCUGAUCCAGCAAUGCCGCGUGUGUGAAGAAGGCCUUCGGGUUGUAAAGCACUUUUGUCCGGAAAGAAAUCCUUGGCUCUAAUACAGUCGGGGGAUGACGGUACCGGAAGAAUAAGCACCGGCUAACUACGUGCCAGCAGCCGCGGUAAUACGUAGGGUGCGAGCGUUAAUCGGAAUUACUGGGCGUAAAGCGUGCGCAGGCGGUUUGCUAAGACCGAUGUGAAAUCCCCGGGCUCAACCUGGGAACUGCAUUGGUGACUGGCAGGCUAGAGUAUGGCAGAGGGGGGUAGAAUUCCACGUGUAGCAGUGAAAUGCGUAGAGAUGUGGAGGAAUACCGAUGGCGAAGGCAGCCCCCUGGGCCAAUACUGACGCUCAUGCACGAAAGCGUGGGGAGCAAACAGGAUUAGAAACCCCGGUAGUCCCA